AGCGUUUCCAGGCGCGUGGGCGCGCGUGUUGUGAGCCCCUUUUUCGUUUGACAGGUUGACAAGGUGACAGGCAGGUUCAACGGCCAGUUUAAGACCUACGCCAUCUGCGGGGCCAUUCGCAGGAUGGGCGAGUCAGAUGACUCCAUUCUCCGACUGGCCAAGGCUGAUGGCAUCGUCUCCAAG